rnacentral:rRNA from 1 species
GGUAAGUUCGGGUAAGAAGCGGGGGUAAUAGGAAGGAUGGAAGCGUGAGUCGGAGUUAUUGGGUGUAAAGGGUGCGGAGGCGGCUUUUUAAGUCAGUGGUGAAAGGUGCAUGCGUAACAUGGAAAUUGCAAUUGAUACUGAUGAGCUGUAGUACAUUUGAAGUGGGCGGAAUAUGUCGUGUAGAGGUGAAAUUCUUAGAGAUGACAUAGAACACCGAUUGCGAAGGCAGCUCACUAAACUGUAACUGACGCUGAGGCACGAAAGCGUGGGGAUCAAACAGGAUUAGAUACCCUAGUAGUC